GUGGCUAAUAACUAGACAAGUCGAGCGAGCUGGAACUAACAGAUGUUACUUCGGUAAUGACGUGUAGGAAAGCGAGCGGCGGAUGGGUUGAGUAACACGUAGGGGAACCUGCCCCAUAGUCUGGGAUACCACUUGGAAACAGGUGCUAAUACCGGAUAAGAAAGCAGAUCGCAUGAUCAGCUUUUAAAAGGCGGCGUAAGCUGUCGCUAUGGGAUGGCCCCGCGGUGCAUUAGCUAGUUGGUAAGGUAAAGGCUUACCAAGGCGAUGAUGCAUAGCCGAGUUGAGAGACUGAUCGGCCACAUUGGGACUGAGACACGGCCCAAACUCCUACGGGAGGCAGCAGUAGGGAAUCUUCCACAAUGGACGCAAGUCUGAUGGAGCAACGCCGCGUGAGUGAAGAAGGUUUUCGGAUCGUAAAGCUCUGUUGUUGGUGAAGAAGGAUAGAGGUAGUAACUGGCCUUUAUUUGACGGUAAUCAACCAGAAAGUCACGGCUAACUACGUGCCAGCAGCCGCGGUAAUACGUAGGUGGCAAGCGUUGUCCGGAUUUAUUGGGCGUAAAGCGAGCGCAGGCGGAAGAAUAAGUCUGAUGUGAUAGCCCUCGGCUUAACCGAGGAACUGCAUCGGAAACUGUGUAUCUUGAGUGCAGAAGAGGAGAGUGGAACUGCAUGUGUAGCGGGUGGAAUGCGUAGAAUAUAUUGGAAGAACAGCAGGUGGCGAAGGGCGGGCUCUCUGGGUCUGCCAACUGACGCCUGAGGGCUCAAA
rnacentral:rRNA from 1 species